AAUAUGUAAUGCAUACUCCUAUGUAAUUAUUUUACUAUAAUAUAACAUAUUGUUGCCAAAGCUAUUAUUUACACUAUUAACCGAACUCCGAUCAGAAUCGUUUUUCGUUAGCAAUGGUUAAUUGUUGUAUACAGAUAUACAUUAAAUUUCCCCUAUAUUUUCCCAACUUCUCACCUAUAACAGUGGCUCACCCACGUACGAAGUAUCUCCAUCUUUUUAAUC